UACGUAGGGGGCAAGCGUUGUCCGGAAUUAUUGGGCGUAAAGCGCGCGCAGGCGGUCCUUUAAGUCUGAUGUGAAAGCCCACGGCUCAACCGUGGAGGGUCAUUGGAAACUGGGGGACUUGAGUACAGAAGAGAAGAGUGGAAUUCCACGUGUAGCGGUGAAGUGCGUAGAGAUGUGGAGGAACACCAGUGGCGAAGGCGGGUCUCUGGACAGUUCCUGACACUGAGGCACGAAGGCCAGGGGAGCAAACGGG
rnacentral:rRNA from 1 species